UGGGGGAUAUUGCACAAUGGGCGAAAGCCUGAUGCAGCGACGCCGCGUGGGGGAUGAAGGCUUUCGGGUUGUAAACCUCUUUCGCUAUCGAACAAGGCCCGCUUAGGGUGGGUUGAGGGUAGGUGGAGAAGAAGCGCCGGCUAACUACGUGCCAGCAGCCGCGGUAAUACGUAGGGCGCGAGCGUUGUCCGGAAUUAUUGGGCGUAAAGGGCUUGUAGGCGCCUUGUUGCGCCUGCUGUGAAAACGCGGGGCUUAACUUCGCGCGUGCAGUGGGUACGGGCAGGCUUGAGUGUGGUAGGGGUGACUGGAAUUCCAGGUGUAGCGGUGGAAUGCGCAGAUAUCUGGAGGAACACCGAUGGCGAAGGCAGGUCACUGGGCCAUUACUGCCGCUGAGGAGCGAAAACAUGGGUAGCGAACAGG
rnacentral:rRNA from 1 species